rnacentral:rRNA from 1 species
AUUGAACGCUGGCGGCAUGCCUUACACAUGCAAGUCGAACGGUAACAGGUCUUCGGAUGCUGACGAGUGGCGAACGGGUGAGUAAUACAUCGGAACGUGCCUAGUAGUGGGGGAUAACUACUCGAAAGAGUGGCUAAUACCGCAUGAGAUCUACGGAUGAAAGCAGGGGAUCGCAAGACCUUGUGCUACUAGAGCGGCCGAUGGCAGAUUAGGUAGUUGGUGGGAUAAAAGCUUACCAAGCCGACGAUCUGCAGCUGGUCUGAGAGGACGAUCAGCCACACUGGGACUGAGACACGGCCCAGACUCCUACGGGAGGCAGCAGUGGGGUAUUUUGGACAAUGGGCGCAAGCCUGAUCCAGCAAUGCCGCGUGCAGGAUGAAGGCCUUCGGGUUGUAAACUGCUUUUGUACGGAACGAAAAGCCCUGGGUUAAUACCCUGGGGUCAUGACGGUACCGUAAGAAUAAGCACCGGCUAACUACGUGCCAGCCGCCGCCGUAA